UCUCCUGAUUAGUUGAUUGUACUGUUUAGUCCAGUACAAUCACUGGAUUGUAUCUGUUAUUUUGCAGGUACUGUAAAUUUGACCAUCUUGGAUUUAAGUCCACAGCACUUUCAUCACCAAGAAUUAGAAAGGAGGAAGCCUGAGGCUUGCUGGGCCAGACAUCUCAUAAUUCCAAGCAGUGGAAGCCCACCAGAAGAAAGGAGAUGAGAAGGCAAGAGCGGCCCUCGCUUUUCCAUCUCUUCCAACAUCCCCCGGGGCAGUUCUGCUCUCUGCAUUCUGCUGACACUUGGGACUAGAGCUGGGCUCCAUUGAACCAGUAGGUGCAUCGUGCAGAGACUGGACAUCACAGGCUUCCCCCACACCAGGUCUGAAGGAUAAAGGUACAAACAGCUGAGAAUACAAGCCAUGGACCAGAGCCCAGUGAAGUCACUACUUUGGGGGCCCAGAACUGUCAUCACUGUCUUUGCAAGUCCACAUUUCUGGAUGCUUGUGUGGACUCCGCACACCUGCAGCAUCUGGCUCAGGGCUGAGCACUUUGACUAGAACAGACCAGAUUCAAAUCCAGCUUGACCUCGGCACUGUGCAGUGGGCCAAACUUCUCUGAAGCUCAGUUUCUUUGACUGUGAAAUGGGAGAGGCUAUAACCACUUCUGGAUGUAGCAGGCAGCAAACUUUGAUGUGCACACAAACUGCCCAGGACCUUGUUACGACACGAAUUCAAACCCAGUAAAUCUGGGAUUAAGCUUGAGAUCCUGAAUUUCUAAGAAGCUACCAGCUGAGCCACACUCAGAGUGGGGACCACCCUCAGAGUAGCAAGAUUCUCCAGCCCACCACUUUGCUGAAACACCUGCCUGCUGCCAGCCGCCAGCCCAGCUGCUGUCACUUUGCUCUGUGCGGUAAGAGGAACUUCCGAGCCUGUGAGCUGCCAUGGUUUUAUUCUCAGCCUCCAUCUCUGUGUCUCACUGUUCUUCUUGCCCCACUUUUGCGGGUGUCCCUGGAACAUCCACACUCCUUUCUGCCUGGAACCCCCACAAGACUUCAAGGAUUGCAGGUUGGAGGCUUAUUGUCAUUCAUUAUCUCUUCAGUUACCUCCUGGUUUCCUUUUAACUUGUGGCUGUAGCUGUAUUCUUUCUGUGGAUUCAGUCUCUGCAGGAGCAGGAUGCAUCCAUACUUAAUGAGCUUUAUUCCUAUCUUCUGUAGUGGUAAGAAUUGAAUGAGAAUUUGAGAUAUUCUAUUUGUCAUCACUGCCUUUAGUGGAUGAACAAAGAGAAUCAUACCAUAUUUGAGCAGAGAACCAAAAGCAGAGAACAUGCAGGACAUUAGGCUUGCAGAUACUUGUCUAUAGAAAGGAGGGGAUCUGGAAAACUGUUUAAUAUCUCUCUCUACAAAAACGUCUGGUUUGCCCUGGGCUUGAAAUGAGUCAUGUCCACUGAAGGCUCUAAGACAGCCAUCACUCCAGCUACCUGCUUUGUGGAGGUUCUCCUCUGAGAGGGCAAAUGUCUGCUGUCAGAAUCACUACAUGCCAUUUUAUCAACCUGAGCCUGGCUGGCCUGUGACCAGCACUAGCCAUCCAACCAGAGAGAGAACAGAUGCUUACUGAACGUGGGUGUGCUAGGAUUACAUUUUCAGGCAGUGUUUGAAAACGUGUUACUAGCAAUUCC